rnacentral:rRNA from 1 species
UAGAGUUUGAUCAUGGCUCAGAUUGAACGCUGGCGGCAUGCCUUACACAUGCAAGUCGAACGGCAGCGGGGACUUCGGUCCGCCGGCGAGUGGCGAACGGGUGAGUAAUGUAUCGGAACGUACCUUUCAGUGGGGGAUAACGUAGCGAAAGUUACGCUAAUACCGCAUAUUCUGUGAGCAGGAAAGCAGGGGAUCGCAAGACCUUGCGCUGAUUGAGCGGCCGAUAUCAGAUUAGCUAGUUGGUGAGGUAAAGGCUCACCAAGGCGACGAUCUGUAGCGGGUCUGAGAGGAUGAUCCGCCACACUGGAACUGAGACACGGUCCAGACUCCUACGGGAGGCAGCAGUGGGGAAUUUUGGACAAUGGGGGCAACCCUGAUCCAGCCAUGCCGCGUGAGUGAAGAAGGCCUUCGGGUUGUAAAGCUCUUUCGGCCGGGAAGAAAUCGCAUGGGUUAAUACCCUGUGUGGAUGACGGUACCGGAAUAAGAAGCACCGGCUAACUACGUGCCAGCAGCCGCGGUAAUACGUAGGGUGCGAGCGUUAAUCGGAAUUACUGGGCGUAAAGCGUGCGCAGGCGGUUAUGUAAGACAGAUGUGAAAUCCCCGGGCUUAACCUGGGAACUGCGUUUGUGACUGCAUAACUUGAGUGUGGCAGAGGGGGGUGGAAUUCCACGUGUAGCAGUGAAAUGCGUAGAGAUGUGGAGGAACACCGAUGGCGAAGGCAGCCCCCUGGGUCAACACUGACGCUCAUGCACGAAAGCGUGGGGAGCAAACAGGAUUAGAUACCCUGGUAGUC